UUUGGCGAUGAUGAGCCGCUUGCCCUCACUGAGAACAAAGUUCGGUAAUGAUUACAAUUUUUUAUAAUCUAUGAUUGCAAUUUUCCACA